CAGCUCAUAGCGUAUACUAAAGCUGCUGCGGUUAAAAAGCUCGUAGUUGGAUCUCAGUUCCAGACGAGUAGUGCAUCUACCCGAUGCGACGGCUCGGACUGAACAUCAUGCCGGUCCUCUCUUGGUGCCCUUCAUUGGUGCGUCUCGAGGUGGCCCGCGCUUUUACUUUGAAAAAAUUAGAGUGCUCAACGCAGGCGAGUCGCCUGAAUAAACUUGCAUGGAAUAAUAGAACAAGAGCCCGUUUCUGUUCUGUUGGUUUUUGGAAUACGGGCUAAUGAUUAAGAGGGACAGACGGGGGCAUUUGUAUGG
rnacentral:rRNA from 1 species